rnacentral:rRNA from 1 species
AUUGAACGCUGGCGGCAGGCCUAACACAUGCAAGUCGAACGAGUGGCGGACGGGAGAGUAAUGUCUGGGAAACUGCCUGAUGGGGGGGGAUAACUACUGGAAACGGUAGCUAAUACCGCAUACCAGCAGUAGUGCCCAGAUGGGAUUAGCUAGUUGGGGGGGUAACGGCUCACCAAGGCGACGAUCCCUAGCUGGUCUGAGAGGAUGAUCAGCCACACUGGAACUGAGACACGGUCCAGACUCCUACGGGAGGCAGCAGUGGGGAAUAUUGCACAAUGGGCGCAAGCCUGAUGCAGCCAUGCCGCGUGUAUGAAGAAGGCCUUCGGGUUGUAAAGUACUUUCAGCGGGGAGGCGUUACCCGCAGAAGAAGCACCGGCUAACUCCGUGCCAGCAGCCGCGGUAAUUC